rnacentral:rRNA from 1 species
CGCUAGCUACAGGCUUAACACAUGCAAGUCGAGGGGCAGCACAGUGUAGCAAUACAUGGGUGGCGACCGGCGCACGGGUGCGUAACGCGUAUCCAACCUUCCCGUUACUCUUGGAUAGCCUUCCGAAAGGGAGGUUAAUACAAGAUGGUAUUCAAAUUCCGCAUGUUAUUUGAAUUAAAGAUUUAUCGGUAACGGAUGGGGAUGCGUGACAUUAGAUAGUAGGCGGGGUAACGGCCCACCUAGUCUACGAUGUCUAGGGGUUCUGAGAGGAAGGUCCCCCACACUGGAACUGAGACACGGUCCAGACUCCUACGGGAGGCAGCAGUGAGGAAUAUUGGUCAAUGGUCGGAAGACUGAACCAGCCAAGUAGCGUGAAGGAUGAAGGUUCUAUGGAUUGUAAACUUCUUUUAUACGGGAAUAAAACCUCCCACGUGUGGGAGCUUGUAUGUACCGUAUGAAUAAGCAUCGGCUAACUCCGUGCCAGCAGCCGCGGUAAUACGGAGGAUGCGAGCGUUAUCCGGAUUUAUUGGGUUUAAAGGGAGCGUAGACGGGAGAUUAAGUCAGUUGUGAAAGGCUGCGGCUCAACCGCAGCACUGCAGUUGAUACUGGUUUCCUUGAGUGCGGUUGAGGUGUAUGGAAUUCGUGGUGUAGCGGUGAAAUGCUUAGAUAUCACGAAGGACUCCGAUUG